rnacentral:lncRNA from 1 species
CGAACGGCAGCGACGCGGCUGAGCCCCUCCAUCCCUCCGCUCGCCGCCAGGCCCGCAGGCUUUCUGAUAGUCUGCUGGGAGUCAGAACUGCUAAUCCUCUGGAGGCCGAAACAGAAUGUGGUAGCAGUUGGCUGAUGAAGUGGUUGAACAAGGAAGAAAAUGAAGACAAGUAAAAUUGAAAGGAGCACUGGGAGCGGUGCCACUCCAGCCAGCAGACACCGGCACUGCUGGGAGCCCUGGGCCCGUGCCAGGGGAGGGCACUGCAUUCUGUGGGGCACUGGGCUACUCACUGUGGCUGUUAGUUUCUCUUUUCUGCUUUUAAUUUUGUGGAUAAUGGUGUUUCUGUCUUUGUAAAGUGCUCAGCAAAGUGCUCAAGACAUUUAAAAAGGGGAAAUGUGGCAAUGAGAAAAAAAUCAGCAGCAACCAAUGCUUUUAAAUAUUACACCAGAAGUAAACAGCAAAG